AGUUAACGUUGGCGGCGUGCCUAACACAUGCAAGUCGAACGCGUUCCGGGGGCAACUCCGGAGUGAGUGGCGAACGGGUGAGUAACACGUGGGUAAUCUUCCUUCAAGUGGGGAAUAAGCUCUCGAAAGGGAGUCUAAUACCGCAUGACGUUCCGGGACUCAAGUCCCGUAAUUAAAGCCGCAAGGCGCUUGGAGAUGAGCCUGCGUCCUAUUAGCUAGUUGGUAGGGUAACGGCCUACCAAGGCUGAGAUGGGUAGCCGGCCUGAGAGGGUGAACGGCCACACUGGAACUGAGACACGGUCCAGACUCCUACGGGUGGCUG
rnacentral:rRNA from 1 species